UACGUAGGGCGCAAGCGUUAUCCGGAAUUAUUGGGCGUAAAGAGCUCGUAGGCGGUUUGUCGCGUCUGCCGUGAAAGUCCGGGGCUCAACUCCGGAUCUGCGGUGGGUACGGGCAGACUAGAGUGAUGUAGGGGAGACUGGAAUUCCUGGUGUAGCGGUGAAAUGCGCAGAUAUCAGGAGGAACACCGAUGGCGAAGGCAGGUCUCUGGGCAUUAACUGACGCUGGAGGAAGCGGAAAGCUGGGGAGCGAACAGG
rnacentral:rRNA from 1 species